rnacentral:rRNA from 1 species
AUCUAAAAUAUUAGAAGUGUAAAGACGUCUGAUCUCGGAAGCUAAGCGGGGUUGGGCCUGGUUAAUACUUGGAUGGGAGACCACCUAGGAAGACCAGGUGUUAUAAGUG